rnacentral:tRNA from 1 species
GCAUCCGUAGCUCAGCUGGAUAGAGUACUCGGCUACGAACCGAGCGGUCCGAGGUUCGAAUCCUCCCGGAUGCACCA